rnacentral:lncRNA from 1 species
GUAGCUUCUGCUGACGUGGCAUUGUGGCCAGUAGCUUCUGCUGACGUGGCAUUGUGGCCAGUAGCUUCUGCUGACGUGGCAUUGUGGCCAGUAGCUUCUGCUGACGUGGCAUUGUGGCCAGUAGCUUCUGCUGACGUGGCAUUGUGGCCAGUAGCUUUAGCAUUUGGACUAGGCACCACACUUGCUUUGGCAUAGGAUCCAGUUGGUUCAGGUCCAGUGUAGGCAUGAUGCCCAUUAGAAUUACCUAGAAAACAAAAUAAACAUUGUGGUAAAAUGCCAGCCUUAAGCUAUCGGAACUAGACUGAUUUGAACUGAAGUAGUGUAAACCAAAACACACCUUUAAGUGUAAAACAAGUUAUCCCUCCAAUUAGCAGACAGCAAAUCCAAGAAACACUACAAAACAUUCAGACAGUUAAACACAAGUAACCAGUGAAAACUUUAAGACAAGGUAAACCAACCAGAUGACUACAUUGAAAAACUAACCUCAACGAGAGUCCAAAAGUCACAGCCAUUUUAGUGAUCAAAACCACAACGGUAUUAAGAACAAAUGCUAGAGAGACACCUUGACAGAAUAUCCC